GCACUCACUUCGGCAGCACAUAUACUAAAAUUGGAAUGAUACAGAGAUUAGCAUGGCCUCUGCACAAGGAUGACAUGCAAACUCGUGAAGUGUUCCAUAUUUUU
ensembl:snRNA U6 U6 spliceosomal RNA